rnacentral:rRNA from 1 species
UACAGAGGUCUCAAGCGUUUGUUCGGAUUCAUUGGGCGUAAAGGGUGUGUAGGUGGCGCCGUAAGUCGGGUGUGAAAUUUCGGAGCUUAACUCCGAAACUGCAUUCGAUACUGCGGUGCUUGAGGACUGGAGAGGAGACUGGAAAUUCAUGGUGUAGCAGUGAAAUGCGUAGAGAUCAUGAGGAAGACCAGUGGCGAAGGCGGGUCUCUGGACAGUUCCUGACGCUGAGGCACGGAAGGUCAGGGGAGCAAACGGG